UACGUAGGGGGCAAGCGUUGUCCGGAAUCAUUGGGCGUAAAGCGCGCGUAGGCGGCCCGGUAAGUCCGCUGUAAAAGUCCAGGGCUCAACCCUGGAAAGCCGGUGGAUGCUGUCGGGCUAGAGUCCGGAAGAGGCGAGUGGAAUUCCUGGUGUAGCGGUGGAAUGCGCAGAUAUCGGGAGGAACACCAGCGGCGAAGGCGGCACUCUGGGCUGGUACUGACGCUGAGGAGCGAAAGCGUGGGUAGCAAACAGG
rnacentral:rRNA from 1 species